rnacentral:rRNA from 1 species
GAUGAACGCUGGCGGCGUGCCUAACACAUGCAAGUCGAGCGAUCUCUUCGGAGAGAGCGGCGGACGGGUGAGUAACGCGUGGGUAACCUGCCCUGUACACACGGAUAACAUACCGAAAGGUAUGCUAAUACGGGAUAAUAUAUAAAAGUCGCAUGGCUUUUAUAUCAAAGCUUUUGCGGUACAGGAUGGACCCGCGUCUGAUUAGCUAGUUGGUAAGGUAACGGCUUACCAAGGCGACGAUCAGUAGCCGACCUGAGAGGGUGAUCGGCCACACUGGAACGGAGACACGGUCCAGACUCCUACGGGAGGCAGCAGUGGGGAAUAUUGCACAAUGGGCGAAAGCCUGAUGCAGCAACGCCGCGUGAGCGAUGAAGGCCUUCGGGUCGUAAAGCUCUGUCCUCAAGGAAGAUAAUGACGGUACUUGAGGAGGAAGCCCCGGCUAACUACGUGCCAGCCGCCGCUGUAA